AUUGAACGCUGGCGGCAUGCCUUACACAUGCAAGUCGAACGGCAGCACGGGGCAGCCUGGUGGCGAGUGGCGAACGGGUGAGUAAUGCAUCGGAACGUACCUUUCAGUGGGGGAUAACGUAGCGAAAGUUACGCUAAUACCGCAUAUUCUGUGAGCAGGAAAGCAGGGGAUCGCAAGACCUUGCGCUGAUUGAGCGGCCGAUGUCAGAUUAGCUAGUUGGUGAGGUAAAGGCUCACCAAGGCGACGAUCUGUAGCGGGUCUGAGAGGAUGAUCCGCCACACGGGAACUGGGACACGGUCCAGACUCCUACGGGAGGCAGCAGUGGGGAAUUUUGGACAAUGGGGGCAACCCUGAUCCAGCCAUGCCGCGUGAGUGAAGAAGGCCUUCGGGUUGUAAAGCUCUUUCGGCCGGGAAGAAAUCGCACGGGCUAAUACCCUGUGUGGAUGACGGUACCGGAAUAAGAAGCACCGGCUAACUACGUGCCAGCCGCCGCCGUAAGAC
rnacentral:rRNA from 1 species